AUCUCGUGAUGAGGUCAAUUCCUUCUGAGCUCUUUAAAUCUCUCCCAUGAAGCAUACAACAAUUCCCCUUCCAUCUGGUAAAAAUGAUUAAUUUCCCCUCUCAAAUU